rnacentral:rRNA from 1 species
UACGGGGGGAGCAGCGUUGUUCGGAUUUACUGGGCGUAAAGGGCGCGUAGGCGGCCAGCACAAGUCAGUUGUGAAAUCUCCGAGCUUAACUCGGAAAGGUCAACUGAUACUGUGCGGCUAGAGCGCGGAAGGGGCAACUGGAAUUCUUGGUGUAGCGGUGAAAUGCGUAGAUAUCAAGAGGAACACCUGCGGCGAAGGCGGGUUGCUGGGCCGCAACUGACGCUGAGGAGCGAAAGCGUGGGGAGCGAACAGG